CCGCGAAGCGUCGCCCGCAUGCCGGUGGCUGAGACGGCCUUCUCUAUUUCAUCGAUCGUAGCGAGGUUCUGUGGGCUGACCCGCAUCGUGCCUUGCUUGGUAUCAAAGCCGAGCUUGUCAUCGCCGCCAACGAGAGGNNNNGCAGCUUUGAGCUGCCGCACCUCGUUUUGGCAAUCCAAACCGUCGAUUUCGAAGAGAAGCUCGGUUUGAGGACCCAUGUGCGAGACCACUCGCAUUCCCGUGCGAGCCACGG
rnacentral:misc_RNA from 1 species